AACGUAGGAGACGAACGUUAUCCGGAGUUACUGGGCGUAAAGGGCGCGUAGGCGGCCUCCGCAAGUCAGUUGUGAAAUCUCCGAGCUUAACUCGGAAAGGUCAACUGAUACUGCGGGGCUAGAGUGCGGAAGGGGCAACUGGAAUUCUUGGUGUAGCGGUGAAAUGCGUAGAUAUCAAGAGGAACACCUGCGGCGAAGGCGGGUUGCUGGGCCGACACUGACGCUGAGGCGCGAAAGCUAGGGGAGCGAACGGG
rnacentral:rRNA from 1 species